rnacentral:rRNA from 1 species
ACUCAAAUGAAUUGACGGGGGUCUACACAAGUGGUGGAGCAUGUGGUUUAAUGCGAUAACACACGCGUAACCUUACCAUCUCUUGCAUAAUAUUAAGUCAACCUUAUUGCUAAGGUUAAUCUUUUUUGCAAUCAGUUAUAUUGUGUAACAAAAAAAGGCUAAUAUUACAGGUGUUGCAUGGCUGUCGUCAGCUCGUGUUGUGAAAUGUUUGGUUAAGUCCUUUAACGAGCGCAACUCUUAUUCUUUAUUUAAAAUUUUUUUGUAUUUACAAAAUUUUUUUAUAAAGAAGACUGCUAGUGAUAAACUAGAGGAAGGUGAGAACGACGUCAAGCCCUCAUGGCCCUUAUGAGAUGGGCUACAACACGUGCUACAAUGAAAAGGACAAAAAGAAGCAAAAAUGUAAAUUUGAGCAAAACUUUAAACCUUUUCGUGCUCAGAUUGUGGGCUGAAACUCGCCCACAUGAAGGUGGAAUCACAAGUAAUCGUAAAUCAGAAUGUUACGGUGAAUUUGUACCUAGACCUUGUACACACCGCCCGU